UACGUAGGGUGCGAGCGUUAAUCGGAAUUACUGGGCGUAAAGUGUGCGCAGGCGGCAGAGCAAGUCGAGUGUGAAAGCCCCGGGCUUAACUUGGGAAUUGCGCUCGAAACUACUUUGCUGGAGUGUGGCAGAGGAAGGUGGAAUUCCACGUGUAGCGGUGAAAUGCGUAGAGAUGUGGAGGAACACCAAUGGCGAAGGCAGCCCCCUGGGUCAAAACUGACGCUCAUGCACGAAAGCGUGGGGAGCAAACAGG
rnacentral:rRNA from 1 species